rnacentral:rRNA from 1 species
UACAGAGGUCUCAAGCGUUGUUCGGAUUCAUUGGGCGUAAAGGGUGCGUAGGUGGCAUGGUAAGUCGGAUGUGAAAUCCCGGGGCUUAACCCCGGAACUGCAUUCGAUACUGCCAGGCUAGAGUACUGGAGAGGAGAUUGGAAUUUACGGUGUAGCAGUGAAAUGCGUAGAUAUCGGAAGGAACAUCAGUGGCGAAAGCGACUUCCUGGACCAAUACUGACGCUCAUGUGCGAAAGCGUGGGGAGCAAACAGG